CCAAUAGCGUAUAUUAAAGUUGUUGCAGUUAAAAAGCUCGUAGUUGAAUUUCGGGGUCAGUAAGUUGGUCGUGCCACUGGUAUGUACUGGCUUUACUGAUUCCUCCUUCUUGUAGAACCGUAAUGCCAUUAAGUUGGUGUUGCGGGGAAACAGGACUGUUACUUUGAAAAAAUUAGAGUGUUUAAAGCAAGCUAACGCUUGAAUACAUUAGCAUGGAAUAAUGAAAUAGGACGAACGAUCCUAUUUUGUUGGUUUCUAGGAUUGACGUAAUGAUUAAUAGGGAUAGUUGGGGGCAUUAGUAUUCAAUUGUCAGAGGUGAAAUUCUUGGAUUUAUUGAAGACUAACUACUGCGAAAGCAUUUGCCAAGGAUGUUUUCAUUAAUCAAGAACGAAAGUUAGGGGAUCGAAGACGAUCAGAUACCGUCGUAGUCUUAACCAUAAACUAUGCCGACUAGGGAUCGGAUGAUGUUAAUUUUAUAAUGACUCAUUCGGCGCCUUACG
rnacentral:misc_RNA from 1 species